rnacentral:rRNA from 1 species
UAGGGAAUCUUCCACAAUGGACGCAAGUCUGAUGGAGCAACGCCGCGUGAGUGAAGAAGGUUUUCGGAUCGUAAAGCUCUGUUGUUGGUGAAGAAGGAUAGAGGCAGUAACUGGUCUUUAUUUGACGGUAAUCAACCAGAAAGUCACGGCUAACUACGUGCCAGCAGCCGCGGUAAUACGUAGGUGGCAAGCGUUGUCCGGAUUUAUUGGGCGUAAAGCGAGCGCAGGCGGAAUGAUAAGUCUGAUGUGAAAGCCCACGGCUCAACCGUGGAACUGCAUCGGAAACUGUCAUUCUUGAGUGCAGAGAGGAGAGUGGAAUUCCAUGUGUAGCGGUGGAAUGCGUAGAUAUAUGGAAGAACACCAGUGGCGAAGGCGGCUCUCUGGUCUGCAACUGACGCUGAGGCUCGAAAGCAUGGGUAGCGAACAGG